rnacentral:rRNA from 1 species
CGUAGGGGACGAGCGUUGUCCGGAUUCAUUGGGCGUAAAGCGCGCGUAGGCGGCUCGGAAAGUCGGUCGUGAAAUCCUGGGGCUCAACCCCGGAACUGCGUCCGAUACUCCCGAGCUGGAGGCAGGUAGGGGAGAUCGGAAUUCCUGGUGUAGCGGUGAAAUGCGCAGAUAUCAGGAGGAACACCGGUGGCGAAGGCGGAUCUCUGGGCCUUGCCUGACGCUGAGGCGCGAAAGCUAGGGGAGCGAACAGGAUUAGAUACCCUGGUAGUCCUAGCCGUAAACGUUGGGUGCUAGGUGUGGGCGGAUAUCGACCCCGUCCGUGCCGAAGCUAACGCAUUAAGCACCCCGCCUGGGGAGUACGGCCGCAAGGCUA